UACGGAGGGUGCAAGCGUUGUCCGGAUUUAUUGGGUUUAAAGGGUGCGUAGGCGGCUUGAUAAGUCCGUGGUGAAAGCCAACAGCUCAACUGUUGAACUGCCAUGGAUACUGCCGGGCUUGAGUACAGACGAGGUAGGCGGAAUUGAUGGUGUAGCGGUGAAAUGCAUAGAUACCAUCAAGAACACCGAUUGCGAAGGCAGCUUACUAGGCUGUAACUGACGCUGAGGCACGAAAGCGUGGGGAGCGAACAGGAUUAGAAACCCCUGUAGUCC
rnacentral:rRNA from 1 species